GGAUAACCUGCCCUUGGGUCCGGCAUAACCCCGGGAAACUGGGGAUAAUUCCGGAUAACGCACAUAUGCUGGAAUGCUUUAUGCGUCAAAUGGAUUCGUCUGCCCAAGGAUGGGUCUGCGGCCUAUCAGGUAGUAGUGGGUGUAAUGUACCUACUAGCCGACGACGGGUACGGGUUGUGAGAGCAAGAGCCCGGAGAUGGAUUCUGAGACAUGAAUCCAGGCCCUACGGGGCGCAGCAGGCGCGAAAACUUUACAAUGCGGGAAACCGUGAUAAGGGGACACCGAGUGCCAGCGUCAUACGCUGGCUGUCCAGGUGUGUAAAAUACACCUGUUAGCAAGGGCCGGGCAAGACCGGUGCCAGCCGCCGCGGUAACACCGGCGGCCCGAGUGGUGAUCGUGAUUAUUGGGUCUAAAGGGUCCGUAGCCGGUUUGGUCAGUCCUCCGGGAAAUCUGACGGCUCAACCGUUAGGCUUUCGGGGGAUACUGCCAGGCUUGGAACCGGGAGAGGUAAGAGGUACUACAGGGGUAGGAGUGAAAUCUUGUAAUCCCUGUGGGACCACCUGUGGCGAAGGCGUCUUACCAGAACGGGUUCGACGGUGAGGGACGAAAGCUGGGGGCACGAACCGGAUUANAUACCCNGGUAGUCCCAGCCCGUAAACGAUGCUCGCUAGGUGUCANGCAUGGCGCGACCCGUGUCUGGUGCCGCAGGGAAGCCGUGAAGCGAGCCACCUGGGGAAGUNCGGCCGCAAGGCUGAAACUUAA
rnacentral:rRNA from 1 species